UUGAAAAACGGCACCGUUUCACUGCUCAAUAAAUGAUGAACUUCUAGUCUUUCCUUUCCAUUUUCUCUUUACUUUCUCUAGAUUUUCUAAUUCUUUAUCCUUUUUCAAACUAAACAACUAGUUUCAAAAACCACCACCUGCACCCAAAGCCUGAUUAAAGAUAGCCGCCUGUUUUACCAUUCACUGAUAAUGAAAGUCCAACACAAAACCAUUUUUAAACUCUUUGUAAACCCCUCUUUAAAUUUUCUCAAGGAACUUAAAAACUAAAACAUUAGUAGACCAACCCCGAAACUAUCAAGAUUUGCUUACUAGCACCACCAUUCAUCAUUGUUCUCCGCUUCUUGUCACCUUGUUCAGACAAAAAAAAUCCACAACCUAUUUGAAAUCCCGGUGUUGAAACCUCACUUUCCCUUUCCUAUUUUCUACCCAAAACCUUAGCCAAGAACCCUUUGGAACUUUCCUUUUUGCUACGUAAUUGCUGAUGUUUUGUGUAUGGCUACCCAAUUGCUUGUUGCCUUCAUUUUCUAUCGCUGUUUUCUGCUAAGUUUUUUUUGUAUUGGGUACUGUUUUUUGGAUGCUUUGUUUGCUUUGAUUGUGGAUUGGUUUAGUUUUUGGGAUUGUGUUUGUUGAAUGCUUCUCUGGCUCUAUCUCUUGUUGCCCUCUAUGCUUCUGCCUCAAAUGCCUUUUUUAGCUUGUACUAUUUUUCUUGUGAUUUAAUGAAUGCUGUCGAAUGGGAAAAUUGGACUUGAAUAUCCACUUCCUUUUUUGAAAUUUCCCCUUUUGCUUCUUCAAUUGCUUUCUAUUGCUUGAUUGCCCCCUUUAUUUUGCCAAUUGCUUACUUUAUAGGAAUCAAUCCAUUUCAAUUUGGACCAAUUUUAAUAUUCAUUGGAUCUUCUGUGAUUUUUACUUUUUCAUGAAGAUUGAGAUCAAAGUAUUUCCAUAAUUGAUUCAACCAUUAAACCAUAGAAUCGAAUCUUGGAUUCUCAAAAUUGAGAUCUUCAACCACUAAACCAUAAAAUCAAAUCAUUGAUUCUCUGAAUUAAGAUAUUCAAAUUCCCACAUUUUUUCUAUUUUUGACAUUUUUUUAACUUUUCCUUUGACCAAAAAUAAAAUCAAACAAAAUUAAAACAAAAAUAAAAUUAAGAUUAAAAUUAAAUAAAAACCCAAAACAUUUGUUUAGGCUUUUAAUCAUUGGGUUCAAAAUUUUGCAUUAAGACUAAAUUGACAAUCAAUACACAUUUUAAUUCUGAUAAAUUUUCAAACAAAAAGGGAUAUCUAUAGUUACCUCUUUUUGUGCAUUCUAUGAAACAAAAAUUACGAAAAAACAUAAAUACCCAUUACGUCUGGGCUCAAAUUAUUCAAUGUUUUUUUUCCUUUUUUUUUUUGUUUUGUUUUUGUUUGUGUUUCAAAAAAUUCCUUAAGAAUAAAGGCACACCACUAUAAAAAAUAAAAGACUCCUUCAGUACGAAGGCACACAACUUUAAAAACUAGGGAUGACACUUAAAGGUUUUAACGAUCUUGCCCAAAAGUCUUAUAGAUCUCAUCCAAAGAACUUAAAGAUUAGGCCUAUAAGUCUUACAAAUUGUUCUUAACAAUGAAAAAAUGCUCCUUUAAAACAAAGGCUCCAUAACUUUUAACAAAAGGUACCUAGAGAAUUUAAAAGAUCAUGCUCGGAGGUCUUAUAGAUCAUGCCCAAAAAACUUGGAGACUACGCUUAGAGGUCUUACAAAUCUCAACUUUAAAACAGAUUUAGCUCAGAAGACUUACGAAUCUUGCCUGAAAAACUUAGAGAUUAUGCCUAAAGGUCUUACAAAUCUCAACUCUAAAAAUAGAUUUAGCUAAAAAAACUUACAAAUCUUACUCGAAGGACUUAGAGAUUAUGCCAUGACGUCUUAUAAAUUAAACUUCAAAAAAGCUCUUUUAAAUAAAUGCCCAACCACUUAAAAAAAAAGAUACCUAGAGGUUUUAAAAAUUAUGUCCAAAAGACUUUGAAAUUAUCAUUCAAAAGCUUAAAGGAUGCAUUCAAAAGUUUUAAGAAGUAU
rnacentral:lncRNA from 1 species